rnacentral:rRNA from 1 species
GAUGAACGCUAGCGGCAGGCCCAAUACAUGCAAGUCGAACGGUGUCUUCGGACAUAGUGGCGCACGGGUGCGUAACACGUAUGCAACCUACCUUACAUUGGGGGAUAGCCUUUCGAAAGGGAGAUUAAUACCGCAUAAGACAGUAGCUGGGCAUCCAGCAGCUGUUAAAGAUUUAUCGAUGUAAGCUGGGCAUGCGUCCAAUUAGCUAGUUGGUGAGGUAACGGCUCACCAAGGCAAUGAUUGGUAGGGGAACUGAGAGGUCAAUCCCCCACACUGGCACUGAGAUACGGGCCAGACUCCUACGGGGGGCAGCAGUAGGGAAUAUUGGGCAAUGGACGCAAGUCUGACCCAGCCAUGCCGCGUGCAGGAUGAAGGCGUUAUGCGUUGUAAACUGCUUUUAUACAGGAAGAAACGACUCUUGCGAGAGGCAUUGACGGUACUGUAUGAAUAAGCACCGGCUAACUCCGUGCCAGCCGCCGCAGUAAUAC